rnacentral:rRNA from 1 species
CAGUCGCCACGGUAAUACGGAGGGAGCUAGCGUUAUUCGGAAUUACUGGGCGUAAAGCGCACGUAGGCGGCUUUGUAAGUUAGAGGUGAAAGCCUGGAGCUCAACUCCAGAAUUGCCUUUAAGACUGCAUCGCUUGAAUCCAGGAGAGGUGAGUGGAAUUCCGAGUGUAGAGGUGAAAUUCGUAGAUAUUCGGAAGAACACCAGUGGCGAAUGCGGCUCACUGGACUGGUAUUGACGCUGAGGUGCGAAAGCGUGGGGAGCAAACAGGAUUAGAUACCCGCGUAGUCCCUGUCUCUUAUAA